rnacentral:rRNA from 1 species
GAUGAACGCUGGCGGCGUGCCUAAUACAUGCAAGUCGAGCGAACAGACGAGGAGCUUGCUCCUCUGACGUUAGCGGCGGACGGGUGAGUAACACGUGGAUAACCUACCUAUAAGACUGGGAUAACUUCGGGAAACCGGAGCUAAUACCGGAUAAUAUAUUGAACCGCAUGGUUCAAUAGUGAAAGACGGUUUUGCUGUCACUUAUAGAUGGAUCCGCGCCGCAUUAGCUAGUUGGUAAGGUAACGGCUUACCAAGGCAACGAUGCGUAGCCGACCUGAGAGGGGGACCGGCCACACUGGAACUGAGACACGGCCCAGACUCCUACGGGAGGCAGCAGUAGGGAAUCUUCCGCAAUGGGCGAAAGCCUGACGGAGCAACGCCGCGUGAGUGAUGAAGGUCUUCGGAUCGUAAAACUCUGUUAUUAGGGAAGAACAAAUGUGUAAGUAACUAUGCACGUCUUGACGGUACCUAAUCAGAAAGCCACGGCUAACUACGU